UAAUAUAAAUAACGAAACUAUAAAUACUGCUCGUGAAGGAGUUGGUUAUCAUAUUUAGGAUUAGAAUAUGGAUUGUGAAAUGUGUUCCAGCACGUUUUUCGCGCCAAAUUAGCAUUUCCUAUGAAUGAUUGGCGGCGAAAAGCCUUACCACAAGGAGACCUAGGAUGUGUCAGGCGAUAGCAGGAUAAUAAUUUUUGUUGCAAAUGAAUUACAUUGCCCUUGCCGUCGUUUAAUAAAAUAAAUCAUUUACACAAGCAAAAGGACAUCGUUUGGAAAAUGUAGAAUAUUUUAGAAAAUAUCCUCAAAAUCAUCAGAACGAUAAUAAAUAUGUUAGUUCUUGUAAACACGACGGCAGCGACCCGUUUUCGUAUUUACAUAUGGCUCCCAUUUCUCA